GAUGAACGCUAGCGGCAGGCUUAACACAUGCAAGUCGAGGGGCAGCACGUCUUCGGAUGGUGGCGACCGGCGCACGGGUGAGUAACGCGUAUGCAAUCUACCUUUUACAGGGGCAUAGCCCGGGGAAACCCGGAUUAAUAUCCUAUAGUACCAUUAUAUAGCAUUAUAUUAUGGUUAAAGUUUCGGCGGUAAAAGAUGAGCAUGCGUCCUAUUAGCUUGAUGGUAAGGUAACGGCUUACCAUGGCUAUGAUAGGUAGGGGUCCUGAGAGGGAGACCCCCCACACUGGUACUGAGACACGGACCAGACUCCUACGGGAGGCAGCAGUGAGGAAUAUUGGACAAUGGGCGCAAGCCUGAUCCAGCCAUGCCGCGUGCAGGAAGACGGCCCUAUGGGUUGUAAACUGCUUUUAUACGGGAAGAAACACCCCUUCGUGAAGGGACUUGACGGUACCGUAUGAAUAAGGAUUGGCUAACUCCGUGCCAGCAGCCGCGGUAAUACGGAGGAUA
rnacentral:rRNA from 1 species